UGCCAGGCGAGACGGAAGCACGCGCAAGCCAGCGGCGCUCGUAACGGGACCGUGGCACGCGGCCAGCAACCAGCGCACACCUGUGACACCGGCGGCUGCAGCGCAUCGACAGUUCUAACCGAGCCUUUACUGACGAAGUGACAGAACGCCUCUUCGUAGACUUGCUUGCACCGUGUUUACAUCAUAUUUUCGAUACGCCAAUUAGCGACUCAUUCUGGGCCAUAGAGUUGCUGCUUGAACCAUCCCAUUCGACGGUUCGAUGGCUUAGUCUCCGCUGCAAUCCAAUGCCGUAAUGCUAACUUAGCGUUAACGACAGAUGGCAAAAGUUCAUUUAUUAGCGGUACUUCUGCGUUGGAGCGAUAACACAGG